rnacentral:rRNA from 1 species
UGUAAGCGUAUACCAAAGUUGUUGCUGUUAAAACGCUCGUAGUCGGAAUUUGGCAGUUCCGGAUGUGUGCACGUCGUGUGCGCACUUCGCGGGGAUUGCUUUUGUGGUCUUGCGUAGGAUGAGGCACUUUUAUUAGUGAACGUCCUCACGCAACCACUUUUUACUGUGAGAAAAUCAGAGUGCUCAAAGCAGGCAUUUGCCGUGAAUGUAUUAGCAUGGAAUAAUAGAAUAGGACUUGGUUCUAUUUUGUUGGUUUGUUGGGACUGAGUAAUGAUUAAGAGGGACAGUUGGGGGCAUUUGUAUUUCGGUGCUAGAGGUGAAAUUCUUAGAUUACCGAAAGACAAACUGCUGCGAAAGCGUCUGCCAAGGAUGUUUUCAUUGA